CCUCAUAGAGCCCUGUUCACAGCCCAGGUCAAGGCCAGUAGCCAGUGGGGACCAGGCAUUGCUCAGGCAAGUUUCUUAUCCUAAAUCCCACUGAUGUUCCCACCGUGGUGUCACCUGCCUCAUGGAUACAGCAGGACCCUGGAUGCCCCACUUUUGUGCUCUUGGAAAGCUUAUUCUUUGGGUAGAGGCGUGUGAUUUUUGAUUAUUGAAGAAAAAUAAUGUGUUCCUUUGCAGCGUCCUAUAUUUAGCUUCUAGAUGUGAUUGAAGUCCAAACAGGAGAGGAGAAAAGCGAGAAUUCAAACACAACUACAGAAAUAAGGGCUGAAAAGUUCCAGAUUUUAUGAAAAGUGUGAAGCACAAAUUUAAAAAUAUGAAUAAACUGCAAGCAGAAGACACAGAAAGAGAAGUAUUUUGGGAUCCAGCACAAUAAAAUUUGUUAAAACAA